AAGAGAAGAGGAGAGCAUCUUCUAUUCGCUGGGAUAAAUCUUUUCCUCUGCAGGGGCCUUGUGCAGUAAACCCCAAUGGGCGGUCGUCCGUCGUCGUAAAGUAGUCCCCGCGAAGCUUUCGAGAAGAGGAUAGCAUUUUUGGUCGAACUCGCCCAACCCAACUAAGAAGAACUGAACCUGACAGACACAUCUUUUUCUUUUUGGGAGGGUACCUCUUUCAUCCAUUUAUCCCAUUCAUCUCUAGUUCUCCACAUCAGAAGAUUCUCCUCAAUUUGAAGAGUUUAAGGCAUUGAUGGACCGCGCGAACCUUCAGUUUUUAAAUAAAGUGAUGGUAAUGAGAUGGAAUACAAGGGAGUUCAAUAUGAUAAGUUGUCUACAGAAGACAUUAAAGGGCAGAAGUUUAAGACUAUUGAGGAAGCCGAGUCUUUUUACUACACUUAUGUAAAGGUCAUGGGUUUUGGUGUUAGAAAGAACUACAAGAGACUGAGUACAAUCACACCAAGGAAAGUCACUUCGUUGAGGUUGGUUUGUUCUGCUCAGAGACAGAGAUGCCGAGCACAUGAAAAACAAGAAAAGAGUUCGCAGGCAAAAGAUGACAAUUUUUAGAGCUAGUUUUACAUAUGACAUUUUUUUUCACACAGUUAUGGAUACUAGGUAAUUUGGCUUUGGUACUAUCAGUAUGUGUUAUUUCUACUUUCCAAUCACUUUCAGGAUCAUUGACAUACUAUUUUGAGGAUUGGUUUAGUGCUUGUUACGUUUCUGAAUCCUAUUGAAAAACGUUGGAUGUCUACAAUGUAGCGAACACAAGUGGAGAAUAUGCAUCAUCGAGCAACCAUGGUUUUACGUUUUUGCUGCACUGAAUUGUAUGAGUCUGGAGAGUUUGUGGCACCAUGUGCUUUGAAAGAAAUUGAGAUGUGUCUUCUAU